AAACUUGGAUUUUUCUAGGUUAGGACCCUAGGCCCAUUUUCCACUUUUUGGGUCUUAGGCCCAUUACUAGUCCCACUCAGCCCGUCGUGUGAAUGUUUUGCAUGAAUGUGUGGCCCAUGUACCUAUGUUGGCCUGAAAGUACAACCUAUUUACUUUGACCUAAAGGUAUGGCCCGUUUCAUUUUUCUUGACCCGACUGUGUGGCUCAGUAUUCGAUAGUUGGACUAUGUAAUUAUAUAAGCACGCGUAUCGUGCGGAGUCUAUAAUUCAUUUUUUAAUUUCCUUGUACAUUCGCAAAUGUGGACUCGACCCUAGGAUUUAAUAAACUCGACUUUAACAAAUAAAAAGUGUUAGAACUAUUAGGAGCUUAGGAAUGUACCGAAAAUUCGAGUUAUUGAUUUGCAGGCAUCUAAUCUCGUAAUAAAGCCUCUGGACUCAUUUCUCUAGUUAGAAAGACCGAGUCAAAUUUAAGUCUUUAGGCAAUUAGUAUUAUGACCUCGUAGAUAUUUAGGCGGCUCAACGGCCAAAUAAAAUGGCAUAGUGGCAUUCUAAUCCCAAUUGGGUCUCUGUCCAUGUGGACUAACAAAACACUCAAGUUGGUGGUAGAGGCCUAAAAACCACGCCAUGUGACAGCUCGACGACUCAGCUGAGAAUCUACAAGAGGGCUUGGGCCCAAAAUCCCCAGUUCUUAAAAAAUUCUAACACGGACUUUGUAUGAUUAACCCUUUGAGUGCGCAAUUUAAAUUAGCACUACAUAUAAAAAAAUUUUAAAAAAAGUUCUGGUCGACCCAGGACCAAUGUUAGAAACCUUACUAGGAUUAGACAAGGAGGCUUAGUACGGGUACGCCCGUAUGAGCGUUCUCAUCGGAAAUGGUCAUGAAUGACUCCCGCUCGACUUGAAAAAUCUAAUGACCCCCCCCCCCUUUGGGACUCUUGGAAACUAUGGGCUGGGGACCUACAAGUAUAGGUAGCACCCAACCGUAUAAAACCGUAAGCCCAUCAUGCAUAUUCUUCUAUUGUAUGCUUUUGGGUGUGCUUAUUUAAAUCACUUACUAGUGUAAAUGGUAGAUGAUAGAAAAUUCUUUUGUAUCUUUUUUUUUUUGGAGUAGAUAUAAAUGUGAUAUCUUUUCUUUAUCUCUUACACAUGACAUGGUUUUCAAAUAAAACCUCAAGUAUUAGUUAGAUUCCCUUGACUAUUAAGUUGAUCAUAGCCACAUGCGACCAAAAUUUAGAGAGAUGACUGGGGCAAUAAAAAUAAUCUCUCAUGGUGGGAUGAAUGAUGGAAUUAGAGACAAAUGUGAUCAUUGUCUCGAUUUGAAUACAAAUGUCACGCCCUUACAAAGACUUGAAUGUCAAGUGCAGAGCGGGGGAAGAUACAGUGAGAUGCGACUCACCAUACUCAAGAACCACCCAAGGUCACGUAAAAGGAAAAAGGAAGGAGUAAGAAGAAGACCCCAUCUACUGGCUCCGCACCAUUAUUGGACGAGAUCUAAAGCAAGGAUGGCAUUAGAGCAGCGUAAUGUAUACCACGUCUUGGAGGAUCCUCCAUCACUCGAGGCAUUGAGCUCUAAAGAAAGGAUUGCUUGCCUAGAGCAAGCUUUGACGGGGCUGAAUGGUAAUAUGGAGCACUUCUUGGCACUACUCGAAGCUUAAGCUAUCGCAGCUGUGCGCACCCGAAUUUCAUCUCGUCGGGGCACGCAUUCACGUGCCUAUGCAACGCGGCUUGGGAGUGUCCACAUUCCCGGGGACGCGCGAUGGACGCACAUGAGAAGGAGUCACCACUACAUGUUUACGACCCGAAGGUUGAGGGCCGAUGAGUUGCUCGGGUCUAGGGUAUGGGAUACACCUAGUAUGCUAAGGCAAUGGUUUGUAUGGAACCAGAAAUUUCGAAUUCGGGGGUUUUAUUACAUGUGGGCCUAUAUCCCACACGCCCUUUCGGUACUCUAGCUUGCUAGGCUUGCCAUUUUAUUUAUUUACCGCAUGAUAUAGGGUUGCAAUUGACUCGCCCGUUUUGACACCUUAAAUUUGAAGAAACACUCGAACCGUCCACUUUUCGACCGGGAUUAUUACAUGAAUAAAUGUACAACAUAAACCCUUACAUUGUUCUCUCGAAUAAAUAUAAAAAUACAAUACAUGGAUCCCGGUUGGCUCACAUUUAGCCAAAUAUUCCACUCUGACUCACCGUGUGUUUGAGAAAAGACCGAAACUAAAAUUAAGGCGACGCGGGCUCAGAAAGCCGGGGGUCGGGUCCAAUCGAACCGACGGGUAGCAAGAGGGUCGGUUGACCCUCGAGAUGGCUGUGGGAUCGGUCGAGCUCCCGGGCGAUUGUCAAGUCACGAUUCACGCACCCAAUCCGAGUCGUCUUUCACUUAGACACUACUCGGAGUGAAGUAGUGACUCGAGGCUAGACCCCAUGCCGCACUCGGGACAUACGCGCUCAAUGUAUGGGGGCGUCGGGCCCCGUGAACGAAUGUUAUGGGGCGUUGGACCCCGUGCAAUGCGUAUCCUAAAAGAUCGGACUCGACCCACGAGAAAACAAUAGAAAAACAUAUAAAAGCAGAUAAAACAGAUACAAACAGAUAAGUUGUGUGUUAAUAUCAGAUUUGCAUGAUUUAUCAGGUUCGUGUGGAUUUUGAAAAAAACAAAAAUUCAAACACUACAACGCACAAUCAUAGACAUGUUCAAUCAUGUUAAUACUUAAUUUGCCGAUUUUAAAUCCAAGUGAUCGAUUAAGCCGGUCUUGUUUGUUUAAUCGAUUUUAUUCCUUAAAACCGAAUGAACAUGAGAUUAAUUCAUAUGGGUUCAUUCUCACUUCAACAACCGAUUUUAAAUCCGAUUCUUUGAAAAUAUUCAAAUUCGUGUUCAUAUCGGUUUCUUUUCACACUCCCCAUUUUCAAAAGUCGGGUUUAGGUAUUAGACCGAUUCAUGCUAUUUUCAAUUGAGAUACACAUUUCACGUCAUUAUAAUUCAUGCAAGUAUUGAAUCGACAACACGAUAAUAACAAACAAAUACGAAACCGCUAUCGCCAUAAUCUCGAAAAUUUCAAACAAACAUUCGAGCAUGCAUAACAAUAUGAGAUUUAACGGAAUCGAUAAAACGGCACCGGUUCAUACCGAAACAUGCAUGAAAAUCAGUCUGGCACCGCCUUAUCACCCCACAAUGCUUGAAAAUUAAAAGACUUAAUUCCUCUAAGGGUUUAGGGGGUGUUAUACCUUCGCCUUGGAGUUGGAAAUGAUUCGGGAAAUGUUUCGGAAAGGAAAGGAACAACUUCGGACAGUAGGGUCUCUGAGUGACCCGAGAAGGCUCAAACUCGCCUUAAGGAGGAAAUCGGCUGGAGUGGGCUGUCGGGAGUGGUUCCAGCAAGUUGGCACGGUGGCUCUUGACUCCCAAGGGACCCCUGGACAUGGCUAUAGGUGAUAUUCAAUGAGCCAUGGUUUGAUUUAACCUGAAAAUAAGAAAGAAAACUGGUAAAGUAUAGAGGAAACUCGGAAAAGAAAAGAGAGGAAAGGAAGCAGUUCACGCGACGAUGCAUAGUGGUUCACGGCUCUUGGAUGGCCAUGGAACGUUGCUGGAGAUGGCUCAUGGGUCUAUGGGUCGUUGGUUGACCCGGCUUGGUCGUGGAAGGGAUGAACUCGUCAGGAAACCGGGAAAACACCUAGGAACCGAUUCUGAAAACUACUGGAACAGGAUAUUGGAGGCCUCAAAUGGAGAAAAUAACCUCACCAAUGGACUCGGGAAGUCGAAAACUAGAAGGGUAUGUAGUUUUUUUUGUGCUCGGGCUAAGACGGGAUGAAGAAAAUGCCUAGGAACUGGGAAAACUCGGGGGAGACCCGAAUCUAGACCAUGC